AACGUCACGUUGAAACACAGGUUCUCUUACGAUCACUGAAGUUAAGCAACAUCAAGCCUGGCCAGUACCUUGGUGAGUGAUCUCUUGGGAAUAGCAGGUCCUGUAAG